rnacentral:misc_RNA from 1 species
AAAUGCGAUAAGUAAUGCGAAUUGCAGAAUUUCCGUGAGUCAUCGAAUCUUUGAACGCACAUUGCGCCCGCCAGCACUCUGGCGGGCAUGCCUGUUCGAGCGUCAUUUCAACCCUCAGAACCCCUUGCGGGAUCUGGCGUUGGGGAUUGGCAUCCAGCCAGCCCCGAAAUCUAGUGGCGGUCCCUCCGCGACCUCCCCUGUGCAGUAGCGAUACCUCGCAGCGGGACAGCGGUCUGACCACGCCGUAAAACCCCCAACUUCUCAAGGUUGACCUCGAAUCAGGUAGGAAUACCCGCUGAACUUAAGC